rnacentral:rRNA from 1 species
CGCGUAGGCGGCUUGCCAAGUCACUUGUGAAAUCUCUGGGCUUAACCCAGAACGGCCAAGUGAAACUGGCAUGCUAGAGUGCAGAAGGGGCAAUCGGAAUUCUUGGUGUAGCGGUGAAAUGCGUAGAUAUCAAGAGGAACACCUGAGGUGAAGACGGGUUGCUGGGCUGACACUGACGCUGAGGCGCGAAAGCCAGGGGAGCAAACG